rnacentral:rRNA from 1 species
CAGUCGCCGCGGGAAAACGAAGGGUGCAAGCGUUACUCGGAAUUACUGGGCGUAAAGCGUGCGUAGGUGGUGGUUUAAGUCUGUUGUGAAAGCCCUGGGCUCAACCUGGGAAUUGCAGUGGAUACUGGGUCACUAGAGUGUGGUAGAGGAUAGUGGAAUUUCCGGUGUAGCAGUGAAAUGCGUAGAGAUCGGAAGGAACAUCUGUGGCGAAGGCGACUAUCUGGGCCAACACUGACACUGAGGCACGAAAGCGUGGGGAGCAAACAGGAUUAGAUACCCCUGUAGUCCCUGUCUCUUAUAC